GGAACACUUAUGCUGCUAGUAGCCAUCUCUUCAAGAUCACUGUCCUAUAUCAUCUUCCUGGACUGCAUGUGCUUCCGCUCCAGAGCGCCUCACCUCUCCGUGGGCCUCCUACAAAGUAACACAGUCUUCCGGCAAAUACCAUGAAGAAGAACAGAGGACUGUGCAGCUCUGGAGAUGAGUCUCAGGUAACACUGGAGGGAAGGAAGCUGGCGGGAACGAGGGAGAAUAUACUCGGUGUCUCAAGUGGGUCGUUCCCAGGCAGAUGUAAUUGAUUCUGUGAUUCCAGUCUAAUUAGUGGGGAAGAGACUUCUGGCUGGGCAUGAGGAAGUUUUCUAGGCUAUUGUGGUUGAGCCACCACCUUGAUCCCUACUGGUUCUAUAACCUGUGAAAACCAGCUGAGGUCUCUACAUCAGCUCUGAGGACUUUUUAAACAUUUUCGUGCCAAUGAAACGGGUUUCUAAAGCCUCUCUUCGGGGGCUGGGGAGAUGGCUCAGCAGUUAAACAUACUUGCUGCUGUGGCAGAGAAACCGCC
rnacentral:lncRNA from 1 species